CAUGUGAUAAAAAAUUUUACUGAGUGAGAAAAAAUGUUAACAUUGGAUUUGGUUUUUCUAAAUAAUAAAAAUGCAUUGAGUCUCACUUGAAAGUAAUAACGAUACAGAAUAACAUAAUCAUGUUUUUUCAGGACCCACCUAUAUAACAGGACCCACCUACAUUACAGGACCCACCAACAUUAUCAGCAAAAAAAGAUCAAAAUGGCAACCGACCCAUUUUAAGAGAUAUUUCGAAUUUAGACUCAAAUCCGUUGGUGCCAUGACUGAUAAGCGACCAUCGAAUAAAGGAUGAAGAAA